rnacentral:tRNA from 1 species
AAAUAAGAAACAAUUAAUUGUAUUUAGUUUCGACCUAAAAUUUAGGUGUAUGAACACCCUUAUUUA